GUUACUGCUAUCGGAGUUCGAGUAAGCCAUGCGAGUCUAAAGGUUUCUUCGGAAACCUUGGCGGACUGCUCAGUAACACGUGGAUAACCUACCCUUAGGACUGGAAUAACCCCGGGAAACUGGGGAUAAUACCGGAUAGAUCAGGGAUGCUGGAAUGCACCUUGAUCCAAGCCCUGGCGCCUAAGGAUGGGUCUGCGGCCUAUCAGGUUGUAGUGGGUGUAACGUACCUACUAGCCGACGACGGGUACGGGUUGUGAGAGCAAGAGCCCGGAGAUGGAUUCUGAGACACGAAUCCAGGCCCUACGGGGUGCAGCAGGCGCGGAACCUUUACAAUGUGCGAGAGCAUGAUAAGGGGACUCCGAGUGCCAGCAUCUAAUGCUGGCUGUCCUUGUGCCUAAAAAGCACAAGAUAGCAAGGGCCGGGUAAGACCGGUGCCAGCCGCCGCGGUAACACCGGCGGCCCGAGUGGUAGCCGCUAUUAUUGGGUCUAAAGGGUCCGUAGCCGGUUCGGUAAGUCCUUUGGGAAAUCUGGUUGCUUAACAAUCAGACUGCCAAGGGAUACUGCUGAACUUGAGACCGGGAGAGGUAAGAGGUACUUCAGGGGUAGGAGUGAAAUCUUGUGAUCCCUGGGGGACCAUCUGUGGCGAAGGCGACUUACCAGAACGGGUCUGACGGUGAGGGACGAAAGCUGGGGGCGCAAACCGGAUUAGAUACCCGGGUAGUCCCAGCCGUAAACGAUGCUCGCUAUGUGUCAGGUACGGUGCGACCGUAUCUGGUGCCGUAGGGAAGC
rnacentral:rRNA from 1 species